UCUCCGUUGGCGAACCAGCGGAGGGAUCAUUACCGAGUUUACAACUCCCAAACCCAAUGUGAACCAUACCAAACUGUUGCCUCAGCGGGGUCACGCCCCGGGUGCGUCGCAGCCCCGGAACCAGGCGCCCGCCGGAGGGACCAACCAAUCUCUUUCUGUAGUCCCCCCGCGGACGUUAUUUUCACAGCUCUGGGCAAAAAUUCAAAAAGAAUCAAAACUUUCAACAACGGAUCUCUUGGUUCUG
rnacentral:misc_RNA from 1 species